ACCAGGGGUUUCUGCUUAGCAAGAAUCUCACUGUUCCAGUUCUGAACCUAAGAAAAUAAGAGUCAUGAAAUUAACUCCGUUAAUUACCAUUACAUUACACUGAUGCAUGUG